rnacentral:rRNA from 1 species
GACGAACGCUGGCGGCGUGCUUAACACAUGCAAGUCGAACGGUAAGGCUCCAGCUUGCUGGGGUACACGGGUGGCGAACGGGUGAGUAACACGUGGGUGACCUGCCCUGCACUUCGGGAUAAGCCUGGGAAACUGGGUCUAAUACCGGAUAGGACCAUGGUGUGGAUACUGUGGUGGAAAGUUUUUUCGGUGUGGGAUGGGCCCGCGGCCUAUCAGCUUGUUGGUGGGGUAAUGGCCUACCAAGGCGGCGACGGGUAGCCGGCCUGAGAGGGUGGACGGCCACAUUGGGACUGAGAAACGGCCCAGACUCCUACGGGAGGCAGCAGUGGGGAAUAUUGCACAAUGGGCGGAAGCCUGAUGCAGCGACGCCGCGCGGGGGAUGACGGCCUUCGGGUUGUAAACUCCUUUCACCAUCGACGAAGGGUUUCUGACGGUAGAUGGAGAAGAAGCACCGGCUAACUACGUG